rnacentral:piRNA from 1 species
UUGGUUGGUGUGAGAAUUAGGCUCU